rnacentral:rRNA from 1 species
GAUCCUGGCUCAGGAUGAACGCUAGCUACAGGCUUAACACAUGCAAGUCGAGGGGCAGCGGGAUUGAAGCUUGCUUCAAUUGCCGGCGACCGGCGCACGGGUGAGUAACGCGUAUCCAACCUUCCGUACACUCAGGGAUAGCCUUUCGAAAGAAAAGAUUUAAAUACCUGAUGGUAUGAUGAGAUUGCAUGAUAUCAUCAUUAAAGAUUUAUCGGUGUACGAUGGGG